GGUUCGAUGGCGUAGUUGGUUAUCGCAUCCGUCUUACAAGUGUCGUUUGUCAUGUAAGCACACGGAAGGUCCUCGGUUCGAGCCCGGGUCGAGCCA